AGACUGAACGCUGGCGGCGUGGUUAAAGCAUGCAAGUCGAGCGGACCCGCAAGGGUUAGCGGCGAAAGGGUGAGUAAAAGUAUCCAACGUACCCCGAGGUGUGGGAUAGGCAGGGGAAACCCGGCAUAAUACCACAUGAUCUCUACGGAGCAAAGAUUUAUCGCCUUGGGAGCGGGGAUACACCUAUCAGGUAGUUGGCGGGGUAACGGCCCACCAAGCCGAAGACGGGUAGCAGGUGUGAGAGCACGGCCUGCCACAUCGAAACUGAGACACUGUUCGGACUCCUACGGGAGGCUGCAGCGACGAAUCUUCCGCAAUGGGCGAAAGCCUGGACGGAGCGACGCCGCGGUGUGGGAUGGAAGCGGCUUUGGCCGUGGUAAACCACGUGUCGAAGGGAAUAGAAACAUUGAUACAUUUACCGAAAGGAAGGGCGAACUAACUCUAGU
rnacentral:rRNA from 1 species